rnacentral:rRNA from 1 species
GACGAACGCUGGCGGCGUGCUUAACACAUGCAAGUCGAACGGAAAGGCCCUUCGGGGUACUCGAGUGGCGAACGGGUGAGUAACACGUGGGUGAUCUGCCCUGCACUUUGGGAUAAGCCUGGGAAACUGGGUCUAAUACCGAAUAGGACCACGCGCUUCAUGGUGUGUGGUGGAAAGCUUUUGCGGUGUGGGGUGGGCCCGAGGCCUAUCAGCUUGUUGGUGGGGUAAUGGCAUACCAAGGCGACGACGGGUAGCCGGCCUGAGAGGGUGACCGGCCACACUGGGACUGAGAUACGGCCCAGACUCCUACGGGAGGCAGCAGUGGGGAAUAUUGCACAAUGGGCGCAAGCCUGAUGCAGCGACGCCGCGUGAGGGAUGACGGCCUUCGGGUUGUAAACCUCUUUCAAUAGGGACGAAGCGGAAGUGACGGUACCUAUAGAAGAAGCACCGGCCAACUACGUG